CGAUAAACAGCCUUUCAUAGAGACAUCAAAAAGGCUUUCAACUGUGAUGAUCUUUCUAACUUAACGAUUUCUAAAUAAAGUGAGGUGUGGAAAACAUGGAAACCGCAGGGUUGUAGACAGCAUCUCACAAAUGAAGAAUCACAACAACAACAACAAACGGAAUCACAACAACAAACGGAAUCACAACAACAAACGGAAUCACAACAACAACAAACGGAAUCACAACAACAACAAACGGAAUCACGACAACAACAAACGGAAUCACAACAACAACAAAAGGAAUCACAACAACAAACGGAAUCACAACAACAACAAACGGAAUCACAACAACAACAAACGGAAUCACAACAACAACAAACGGAAUCACAACAACAAACACAAAAAAGAAGCAUCCUCUGAAUGUAAUUCAACUGAAAAUUGAAUCUCUCCUGUAUCUGAGACCAGGGUGUCUCUUAUCACUCCUGUAUCUUGUCAGACAGGGACAGACAAGAGUAGGAGGGACAGAGAGAGACAGACAAAGACAGACAGAGACAGGAGGGACAGACAGGGACAGACAGAGACAGGAGGGACAGGCAGGGACAGAUAAGGACAGGAGGAGCAGACAGGGACAGGAGGGACAGACAGGGACAGACAGGGACAGAGAGGGACAGACAGGGACAGACAAGGACAGGAGGAACAGACAGGGACAGGAGGACAGACAAGGACUGGAGGAACAGACAGGGACAGGAGGGACAGACAGGGACAGGAGGGACAGACAGGGACAGGAGGACAGACAGGGACAGGAGGAACAGACAGGGACAGGAGGGAAAGACAGGGACAGGAGGGACAGACAAGGACAGGAGGAACAGACAGGGACAGGAGGGAAAGACAGGGACAGGAGGGACAGACAGGGACAGGAGGGAAAGACAGGGACAGGAGGGACAGACAAGGACAGGAGGAACAGACAGGGACAGGAGGACAGACAAGGACAGGAGGAACAGACAGGGACAGGAGGGACAGACAGGAACAGGAGGGACAGACAGGGACAGGAGGGACAGACAGGGACAGGAGGGACAGAGAGGGACAGGAGGGACAGAGAGGGACAGACAGGGAUGGGAGUGUUACACAGGGACAGACAGGGACAGGAGGGACAGACAGGGACAGACAGAGACAUGAGGGACAGACAGGGACAGGCAGAGACAGACAGGGAUGGGAGUGUUACACAGGGACAGACAGGGACAGGAGGGACAGACAGGGACAGGAGGGACAGACCGGGACAGGCAGAGACAGACAGGGACAGACAGAGACAGGAGGGACAGACAGGGACAGGAGGGACAGACAGGGACAGACAGAGACAGACAGAGACAGGAGGGACAGACAGGGACAGACAGAGACAGGAGGGACAGAGAGGGACAGACAGAGACAGGAGGGACAGAGAGGGACAGACAGGGAGAGGAGGGUUACACAGGGACAACAAGGACAGCUUAGUGGUUAGAGUGUAGAGGUGGCAGGUAGCCUAGUGGUGGCAGGUAGCCUAGUGGUUAGAGUGUAGAGGUGGCAGGUAGCCUAGUGGUUAGAGUGUAGAGGUGGCAGGUAGCCUAGUGGUUAGAGUGUAGAGGUGGCAGGUAGCCUAGUGGUUAGAGUGUAGAGGAGGCAGGUAGUCUAGUGGUUAGAGUGUAGAGAAGGCAGGUAGACUAGCGGUUAGAGUGUAGAGGAGGCAGGUAGCCUAGUGGUUAGAGUGUAGAGGAGGCAGGUAGCCUAGUGGUUAGAGUAUAGAGGUGGCAGGUAGCCUAGUGGUUAGAGUAUAGAGGUGGCAGGUAGCCUAGUGGUUAGAGUGUAGAGGUGGCAGGUAGCCUAGUGGUUAGAGUGUAGAGGUGGCAGGUAGCCUAGUGGUUAGAGUGUAGAGGAGGAAGGUAGCCUAGUGGUUAGAGUGUAGAGGUGGCAGGUAGCCUAGUGGUUAGAGUGUAGAGGUGGCAGGUAGCCUAGUGGUUAGAGUGUAGAGGUGGUAGGUAGUCUAGUGGUUAGAGUGUAGAGGUGGCAGGUAGCCUAGUGGUUAGAGUGUAGAGGUGGCAGGUAGCCUUGUCUCAGGAUGUUAAGUUGGUGGUUGAAGAUAACCCUCUAGUGGUGUGGGGGCUGUGCUUUGGCAAAGUGGGUGGGGUUAUAUCCUGCCUGUUUGGCCCUGUCCGGGGGUGUCCUCGGAUGGGGCCACAGUGUCUCCUGACCCCUCCUGUCUCAGCCUCCAGUAUUUAUGCUGCAGUAGUUUAUGUGUCGGGGGGCUAGGGUCAGUUUGUUAUAUCUGGAGUACUUCUCCUGUCUUAUCCGGUGUCCUGUGUGAAUUUAAGUAUGCUCUCUCUAAUUCUCUCUUUCUCUCUUUCUUUCUCUCUGAUGACCUGAGCCCUAGGACCAUGCCUCAGGACUACCUGACAUGAUGACUCCUUGCUGUCCUCAGUCCACCUGGUUGUGCUGCUGCUCUAGUUUCAACUGUUCUGCCUGCGGCUAUGGAACCCUGACCUGUUCACUGGACGUGCUACCUGUCCCAGACCUAAUGUUUUCAACUCUUAAUGAUCGGCCAUGAAAGCCAACUGACAUUUACUCCUGAAGUGCUGACCUGUUGCACCCUCUACAACCACUGUGAUUAUUAUUAUUUGACCCUGCUGGUCAUCUAUGAACAUUUGAACAUCUUGGCCGUGUUCUGUUAUAAUCUCCACCCGGCACAGCCAGAAGAGGACUGGCCACCCCUCAUAGCCUGGUUCCUCUCUAGGUUUCUUCCUAGAUUCUAGCCUUUCUAGGUAGUUUUUCCUAGCCACCGUGCUUCUACACCUGCAUUGCUUCUUUUAGGCUGCGUUUCUGUACAGCACUUUGAGAUAUCAGCUGAUGUAAGAAGGGCUAUAUAAAUACAUUUGAUUGGAUAGACAGGGACAGGAGGGACAAGGACAGACAGGG
ensembl:lncRNA